rnacentral:rRNA from 1 species
UACGUAGGGGGCAAGCGUUGUCCGGAAUUAUUGGGCGUAAAGCGCGUGUAGGCGGCUCGGUAAGUCUGCUGUGAAAGUCCAGGGCUCAACCCUGGAAUGCCGGUGGAUACUGUCGAGCUCGAGUCCGGAAGAGGCGAGUGGAAUUCCUGGUGUAGCGGUGAAAUGCGCAGAUAUCAGGAGGAACACCAAUGGCGAAGGCAGCUUGCUGGGACGGUACUGACGCUGAGACGCGAAAGCGUGGGGAGCAAACAGG